GAGUUUCUCUUCUGAAUGCUCUUAGCUCGUAGAAUGUAGAUACCCCUGGAGCUCUAGUUCCCUGCGAUUGGCAUCCACCUUUUAACGGAUCAGUCAAUCAUCCAAACAGUUUUGCUAUAUGUACACUUGUGAAUUUGCAUAGAGAGUUCACUGAGAUAAAAACAAUUUUGUCAAUUUCAUAUUGUGAAUUUCUUCCUUUAUGCACCCCUAUGGUAUUAUUCAUGUCCUCGAUGAAGGCCUUGGUUUCUCAUAACAGAAAGAAAAUUACUGCUCAAAGAUAUUAUCUAUACAUACAUAUGGGUGAUUCGAUUCCAAGAAAAAAAUGUUUUACUUAUUUCUAACAAACUGUAAUACUUAUAAUUUUACACACCUGAUUCCAGAACCUAGAAGGUGAUUGAUAUGGCCUUAUGGGCCUCAUGGCAAAAAUAAAUAAAAUAAAAGGUGAACUGUAUAUACUUACCAAUAAUAUAGCACACUUCCCUGGUAAUUUCAUUUCACACGAAUUUCUCAGACGGCCAGCAGAAACUUCAUAUAAAAAAAGUGAAUUGUAUUGUCCGUCAUGAUGCAUGCAUGCACGUACAUGGCUGUCCUUGCAGUUAGAACUCAUCAUAACGCUAAGAACCAUCGGAGAACCUGAGUAAUCAAUCAUGGCUCGCAGCAAUACGUACGAAACCUGUACCACAUUUCCUUCGAUAAUCUUCCCUGAUCACAUAUUAUCAUAACGAGAUCCGGGAUCAAAGUGAACACUCGUGCGGUGCGAUGUGUCGCCGGUAGCUGAGACAUGCCAGGCAUGCACAUACAUAAGCUCACCUCAUUAGCGUUUGCCUUUGCAGCGCU
rnacentral:lncRNA from 1 species